ACUGUGAAGCCAUUAACACAGGAUGGUGACUUCACCACAGGAUCAAACAGAGCGGCUGGCUACAGAGGAAAGAAGAAGCAUUCUUAUUCAAAUACACAUAGAUCUUCAAUAAUAACCAGAGAAAUUCAGAAAAUUACUGUCAGAGUAAAUUGCAUUUUGUAUAAAUGCCAACUCCUUUCAAGUCUGCCCCAGCAUGAUCAUCCUUCCAUGUAGUGUUGCUGCCUUCUCUCCUAAGGGACCUUUGGCAGUCAUCUUUUGUAUUUCAUAUAUCAUUAAAAUGACUUAAAAGAAUAGGAAUCAGGUUGAUGUAUGUGAAAAAUUCCACAACCUGGCAAGGAAACGAGCAAUACAUACUACACAUGCUGACUGCAGAGGAGCAUGUCAUGCCUGUGAAGGCUGUGGGAACAGAGAGCCUUCCUUCUCUCUCUACUUAGUUUAUUAGCAGUGAGAACUGGAGAUAUGAAGACAUCAAGAGAGAAGACGAAAAUGUGCAGAAAAUGGUCACUUCCUAGGACCUCCUGGGGAAGGACAAAAACAAAACAGGAAAGGAAUCAGAAAAGUUAAAAUGUAUACUGAAAACCCUCAUAUUGUCAUGGAGAAGUUGGGAAGGGUUCUCUGAUGGAGAAAAUGUUCUAAAUGAACCAAAACACCAAAAAAAGAAAUGUACAUUAAAAAGGGACUGUUGAGCCUGACAAAUGAAGAAGGUAGAUGCAGCCAUCUAGGUGAGUGACCUAAGGAAGCUCUUGAAGCAGAACGUGGUAGCCCCAGACAGAGCCCACUCUCCAACACCUUUGCUCUUACAAAGAUUGAGAAGUUUGAGUGCUUUGAAAGUCAAGCAGAUAUUCCUUUUGCUCACUUUCAAAUGUAAUCCCACUUAACUAUUUCAAAAGCACCUGCUCUUUUUUACACUUUCUUUUUAUUUAUUCUUUGUGUCUUUCACAUCAUGUGUCUCCAUCCCAUUCAUUUCCCCAUCCUUUCAUAUCUACCCUUGGCCCUUGCAAUACC